rnacentral:rRNA from 1 species
UACGAAGGGGGCUAGCGUUGCUCGGAAUCACUGGGCGUAAAGCGCACGUAGGCGGAUUGCUAAGUCAGGGGUGAAAUCCUGGAGCUCAACUCCAGAACUGCCUUUGAUACUGGCGAUCUUGAGUCCGGGAGAGGUGAGUGGAACUGCGAGUGUAGAGGUGAAAUUCGUAGAUAUUCGGAAGAACACCAGUGGCGAAGGCGGCUCACUGGCCCGGUACUGACGCUGAUGUGCGAAAGCGUGGGGAGCAAACAGG